GCGCCCUUGGCUCAAUUGGAUAGAGCAUCUGACUACGGAUCAGAAGGUUAGGGGUUCGAGUCCCUUAGGGCGUGCCA
rnacentral:tRNA from 1 species